rnacentral:tRNA from 1 species
UAUAGCUCAAUGGUAGAGUGCUUGCCUACAAUGCAUGAGAUCCUGGAUUUCAUUCCCAGUA